CUCUCCUCUGCUCCUGGUGGGAGAGGGGAGGGCACAGCCAGGUGGAUUUAGAACUUGCAGCCUGGGCUGACUCAUUUGUAAUCGUUUGAGUAAUCAUUAAUGAGUGGCUAUUAAGUAGGAUGGACGUCCCUGGUGACGGGUCCUUGGCCCUGUGCUGUUUAACUUUUUUUUAAUCAAUGACUUCUGGAAAGGCACAGAGUGUACACUUGGCAGAUUUGCUGAAAACAGAGCUAGGAGAGAUACAAAAAACAAAAGCGCUGAAACAAGCACUUUCAGGCGAGCAAGCAAGCAGUAGGAGCUAGACCUCACCUCCACGUGGAGAUAGCACAAGGAAUAAACCAGAGACAGCUGAAUUAGUUAACUAGAGUGGCUUAGGGGGCCAUUUCCUGAAAGAGAGGAGACCUCGGAUGCCGUCCGCUCAGCCCAUGAGAUCUUUCAUGAUGCAGCCCUCUCUUCAUCUCCUCCCCAGCUAUCUGAGGAGUCACCACCAAGGCCCCCAGAGGCUCUAUCCUUCUCUCAGGACAUUCCCCCUCCUGGAGAUCUUAGGAGUUCUUUUGGAUUCAGUUUUCAUCACUGUACGUUCAUGUAUGUACAGCCACCCUAAUCUCUUCCAUCACCAAUGGCCUGUUCACCAUCACCAUCUGGCUAUCCCAUAGUCCUCUGUGUGUCCAAAACUCAACUUUUACUACCUUUCCCCCCCAUCAGUCCAAACCCAGCCCAUUUCCAAAUGUCCCUAUUUCCAAUGAAGACAGGUAUCAGGUCACCCAGGUUCACAAGUUUAGCACCUCUCUCAAUGCCUUCCUCUCUCAUCUAUAACAUUCCAAGUCUUGCCUUUUCUAUUUUCCCAAUACCUCUUGUACUUCAAAGUUGGGACAUUAACUCAUUGCUAGUGGAGUUGUGAAUUGAUCCAACCAUUCUGGAGGGCAAUUUGGAACUAUGCCCAAAGGGCAAUAAAAGACUGUCUUCCCUUUGAUCCAGCUAUAGCACUGCUGGGUUUGUACCCCAAAGAGAUAAUAAGGAAAAAGACUUGUACAAGAAUAUUCAUAGCUGUGCUCUUUGUGGUGGCCAAAAAUUGGAAAAUGAGGGGAUGCCAUUCAUUUGGGGAAUGGCUAAACAAAUUGUGGUAUAUGUUGGUGAUGAAAUACUAUUGUGCUGAAAGGAAUAAUAAAAUGGAGGAAUUCCAUGGAGUCUGGAACAACCUCCAAGAAUUGAUGCAGAGUGAAAGGAGCAGAACCAGGAGAACCUUGUACACAGAGACUGAUACACUGUGGUACAAUCGAAUAUAAUGGACUUCUCCAUUAGUGUCAAUGCAAUGUCCCUGAACAAUCUCCAGGGAUCAAGGAGAAAAAAACACUACCCUCAAGCAGAGGACAAACGGUGGGAGUAAAAACACUGAGGAAAGGAAACAGCUUGACUACAUGGGGUUGAGGGGAUAUGAUUGAGGAGAGACUCUAAAUGAACACCUUAAUGCAAAUACCAACAACAUGGAAAAGAGUUCGGACUGAGGACACAUGUGAUAUCCAGAGAAAUCAUGGGGGGGAGAGGGGGAGGAAAAUAAAAUGAUCUUUGUUUCUAAUGAAUAAUGUUUGAAAAUGACCAAAUAAAAUAAUAUUUAAAAGGAAAAAAAAUACCUUUUGUACUUGUCACUUUGUCCCCACUUGGCCACCAUACUUGUUCAAGUCCUCCAUCAUCUCUCACUGGCACUAUUGUAAUAGCCAGUUGGCUUCCAGGCUCCUAGUUCUCCAUUCUAUUCUCCAAACUCUAAACUGGUUUCCCAAACUACUCUAACUACGCUCCCCUACUUAAGGACUUUCAAUGACUCACUGAAUACAAACUCAGCUUGGUAUUUGAAGCCAUUUACAAACUGUCUUCGGCUUACUUUUCCAGUCUCAUUUCUCAUUAUUCUCCCUCAUGCACUCUACAUUCCAGUCAAAGUGGCCUUCUGGUGUUCCCAUAGACAGUAUUCUAUCUACCACCAAUCCAGUGGCUUAGCCAAGCUUAUCACUAUCCCUGGAAUAUAUUUCCUCCCUAUCUUUACCCCUUAGAAUCUUUAGCUUUUUUCAAAGCUGAGUUCCUAUGUUACCUACCUUCUUUAAUACAUUUUGCUAGUACUCUCUCCCUCCUCAAAUGAUCACAUAACUACUAUAGAAGCUUCCCACCUUCAUUCCCCAGGAUAUAUAUCCCCAUGCAGCCCUUCCCAAUUUUCUUGCCUGUUGGCCUAUUUAAAAAUUCCCAUUUGUGGAAGUGAAUCUUUGGCCACAAUUAAAAAAGGCAGAGUGUCUAAAGUGAGAGAAGUCAUAACCUCAUUAGUCAGACCAUCUGGAGAAUGAGUUUAUUUCUGGCCAUCACAUUUCUGGAAGGCCACUGACAAGACAGAGAACAUGCAGAGAAGGGCAACCAAGAUAAUGAGGACAAUAAAGACCUGGCUGUGAAAGACUUGGAUGAAGGAAAUGAAAUGUUUAGACUGGAGUAGAGGAGACUUCAGGGGGUGUGACAGGGACACAAUCCUCAAUUACCUUUAGAUAGAAUGAGGUUUUGGUUCUAAUUGAUCCUAGAGGGAAUAACUAGGAUCACUGGGCAGAAAUUGCUGAGACACAAAAAAAGACUCCUAACAAUUUGAGGUGUCCAAAAAAGCAAAAGGAUGCCUAAUGCCUCUAGACCUGAGUCUUUGGGAGUCAUUUAGGAAUUAUCAAAAAGGGUGAAAAAAGGGAUAUCCAUACUUUUGUCUACAUGAGAUUAGAGAUUCCACUAACAGCUUGAAAUGAGGCCUGGGCAUUAACAAGUGCUGGGAGUGAAGGGCAGUAUAGGAAACCUGUCCAGAUGUUUAUGGAGCUCUCAAGGGACAGCCAGACGCUCUCUGAGACCCUCUUCCUCUGACAUUCCUUGUGGCAAAAAAAUGAGCAAGGUGAAAACAAAGUCGACCCUGGGACCAGUAAGAAGAGGCUUCCAAGGGGGCAGCUGGGUAGCUCAGUGGAUUGAGAGCUAGGCCUAGAGACAGGAAGUCCUAGGUUCAAAUCUAUCCUCAGACACUUCCUAGCUGGGUGACCCUGAGCAAGUUACUUAACCCCCAUUGCCUAGCCCUUACCACUCUUCUGCCUUAGAACCAAUACACAGUAUUGAUUCUAAGAUGGAAGGUAAGGGUUUAAAAAAAAAAAAGAAGAAGAAGAAGAGGCUUCCAACAGAUCCUGGGUGCUAACACUUUUCCCCCAACAGUUCAAAGUCAAAUGUCCAAUUCUUCCAGGAUUGGCCUAAAAUCUAUAAACAAAGACUUGCUGUUCCCACUUGCCUCCUUAACUUACUAAUACUUCAACAGCCUGUCAUCACCUGCCCCUUGGUAACCUGGGGAAACCCCAUACUGGUUGCUUUUGAGGCUUCCAUUAUAUCUGUAUCUUUCUGAAAUGGUAUACCUCCAGUUUAGAGAUACUGUGCCAGCUGAAGGUACUGGGAGGAACUGGAUGCCUGAGGGUGUUCUGAUGCAUCAGGCCUGCUUGGUGGAAGGCAGGUGGUAUGGAAGAACAGCUCCCCAUCAGAAGAGCCUCUUCUCCCAGAGAGAAAGAAAUGAGCUAUAGUCCCAGCUCUGCCACUAAUUUACUGAGUGUGACCUUGAGUCACUUUCAUCCUUUAAAAAUCAGCCUCUCAGGUAAGGAAUGAGAGAGGAGGAAAGGCAUGCCUCUCGGGUCAUCAAGGCCAACCAGCAUCUCAAAAGGAACAUCCCUGCCAUACUUGACAAGUCAUUCAGCUUCUGUUUGAAGAUUGAUGGAGAUGGAGACCUCCCUACCUCCUAAGGCAGCCCAGCCCACUUUUGGAUAAAUCUUGGGAACUUUUUAUUUAUGGUGCCAAAAUCUUCCCCUUCUUCCAUCAUGGCUCCUGUUCUGCCUCCCUGUUUCCAAUGAGUGUAAUAAUCAUCGAAUCUUUCUGAAUGUGAGGCCCCCAGAAUGCUCAACUAAAGCCCCUGCCUCCCUCUCCCCAGCCCACAGGAGCUGCUCACAUUGCACAUAGAUAGUACGACAUGACUCCUGCUGAUGGACUACUGUCUACCAGGCUCAUUACUAAAUAUGGGAAAUGAUUCUGGAUUCCUCAAAGUUAAUCAACACUGAGAACAACACUGGGCAUGCAGGUACCAGUUCUGUCAGUUCCAGCACGGCCACAGCCUUCAACAAACCUUUGGACUCAUAGAAGCCAGGGCAAGAGGAGCUGCUCAGUGGAUGCCCCUGUCCCAGCUUGGCAUGCCAGAGACAGUGAUCAAGACCAUGGCACAAAUGCUUACCAUUUGGAGUGAAUUCAUUCAUGUCUGCCUGUCGCAGGAGGUCCUUGUGCACAAUAGCACCUGCAGUAACGUCCUAAAAUCAAAUAUAUUGAAAAUCAUUGGGAGAAUAGGAGGCAACACCCAUAGGACUUCACAGAGAGGCCAGAGAGAACUGACUACACAUUAGAAACAAACCUUGCCAGGUGAUUCAACCUCAAAAUGAACUGGCAAUAGAUCUUAGGCUAAUUCCUCCAAGAUCUUUCCCCCUACUCUCCCCAGCAGAAGUGAUCUCUCCCUCUUCAAAUUUUCUUAAAGUAUUAUAACAUUUAGAUUUGAAACAGACCUUAGAGAUCCAGUCUUCCCAUUUUAAAAAUGAGACUUAGAAAGUUUAAGUGACUUGCCCAAGGUCACAGAUUAAGUAGCAGAUAUAAGUUUUGACCCAAAAUCUUAUAUUUUUUCCAUUGUACCAGAAGGGAGAAAGAGGGGAAAAGGGAACCUUCCCUUCCCUCUUCCUCCCUGGGGCCCCAAAAGAUUAGGCAAUUGACCCAAGAUCAAACAGGUUAAGUAGGGCAAUGUUAUCCUAAUAACUUCUCAGUGAGGUAGCUAGUACAAACUUAUUCCAUUUUUUUUUAACCCUUACCUUCCAUCUUAGAAUCACUACUGUGUAUUGGCUCCAAGGCAGAAGAGUGGUAAGGGCUAGGCAAUGGGGAUCAAGUGACUUGUCCAGGGUCACACACAGGGAAGUGGCUGAGGCCAGAUUUGAACCUAGGACCUCCCGUCUCUAGGCCUAGCUCUCAAUCCACUGAGCUACCCAGCUGCCCCCUCCAUUUUUUACAGAUGAAGAAACUAAGGCUAACAUGACUUGCCCAGAGUCACACAGACAGUAGUUAGGUCUCAGUCAAGGUCUUCUGGCUUUAGGACUCUCACUCUUUCUGAAAAUGACCUUGAAUUAGAGGAGGCCUAGGUUCACCUUAGUGGAGGAACAGAUCUAAAACUGAUCCCUUUACUCCUCUUCACCCCCUCUCCCUCUGUAGCUCUCCUGCUCUCACUGCCUUCCCAGUUCUGUCCCCCGGAAAGGUAUGAAACUUUUCCUCAAAGGCAUCCAUGACUGAGAGCAUCUUCAAAUGUUUCCUGAUCUCCCUUAGCAUUUAACAGGAUCCAAGCCUUUGAUGGCGAGAUGAUAUUAAUAACAUAAUUCUUUAUCAGCUUUUUCUUGGGGACACCUAUACAAGACAGGCAGUGUAAGUACUACUAUCCCCAUUUUUUAUUGUCAUACAAAACACUUCCAUAUUGGUCAGUUGUAAGAGCACCCUCAUAUAUAACCAAAACCCCAAAAUAAAACCAAAAAUACCCUGAUGAGAAAGAUGAUUCCAAUAGUACUUUCUCUGGAAGUGGUUAGCAUUCCUCAUCACAAUUCUUUUAGGAUUGUCCCAAAUCAUUGCAUUGCUGAGAGUAGCCAAGUUUUCACAGUUGAUCAUUGUACAAUAUUGCUUAUUUCACUCUGUAUCAGUUCCUGUAGAUCUUUCCAGCUUUUUCUGAAAUCAUCUUGCUUAUCACUUCUUUAUAGCACAGGAGUAUUCCAUCACUAACAUGUACCACAAUUUGUUCAGCCAUUCCCCAAUUGAUAAAUAUCCCCUCAAUUCCCAAUUCUUUGCCACCAUAAAAAAGAGUAGCUAUAAAUAUUUUUGUACAAGUAGGUCCUUUCCCCUCCAACACUUAUUAUUUUCCUUUACUGCCAUAUUGGCCAAUCUGCUAGGUAUGGGAUGGUACCUCAACAUUGUUUUAAUUUGCCUUUCUCUAAUCAAGAGUGAUUUAGAACAUUUUUUCAUGUGAUUAUUGAUGGCUUUGAUUUCUUCAUCUGAAAAUUACUUGUUCAUAUCCUUUGACCAUUUGUCAAUUAUAUCCCUGUUUUUAAAAAGAGGAAAUUGAGGUGUAUGCCUCAGAAGGGGAAUGCCUUAGAUAAGGCCACAUACACUCAAGGGGUCACCCUGAACAAGGCAGUCAGAUGAGAUGUUCUGUGAAGUCUGGCACUGAGCCUGUAGGAGGGCAGAGUCAGAACCAAAGCCCAGGAGUCCUGACUCAUAGGCCUGUGUUCCUUCUAUCACAUCAAACAGCCACCCAGAAGCCCUCUUCUGUCUAAAUCUGAGGAGAAAAAGUUCAGGGAAGUCUCUUUUUAUCAGCAUGGUCUUGAAAGAAACAACGUGGACUUGGCCUCAGGAGGAAAGGCAAUGAUGAGCACAUGGUCUUCCUCCCUCUGAGCUAUUCAGAGUAUUAUUAUCAUUAAGUUAACCAAUACCAUGGCCAGGGAGAGAGGGAGAAGCUGGAGAGCAGCAAGGAAGAGCUCCCCACUGACUGGCAUUUUGGUGGACCAUAUAAUUGGAGCUCAGGUUUCAGAGCAACACCUGUGUCUCUACAGGUGCCUGAAAAGCCACUUUUCUCCCUAAGUCUAUGUCCACACAAACUGGCCAGAUGCAUUCUGUCUUAGAGAUGCAGAUUAACUUGCUGGCUGUAUUUCAGUGUGAGAGGAGGGCAUCUCUCCCAUGUCAGCAUAGGGGUGAUGGAAUCAAAUCAAGGAAAUGACCAUUGUGAACCAUUAACAGAAAAUGGCAGAGCAGGGAGGUUCUCACCAUCUCCUCCAGCACCCCCACAUCUAAUACAAGUCACCAGAUUUGACUUCCUAGAACACUACUCCCUUGCUCCCUGCUCAAAAAAACCUCCAAAAGGGGGAUAUGGCAAAAUUGUAACACUAAUGCAUUGCUGGUAGACUUGUGAAUUGAUCCAACCAUUCUGGAGGGCAAUUUGGAAUUAUGCCCAAAGAGGCAUAAAAUAGUGCAUACUCUUUGAUCCAGUAAUACCACUACUGAGUCUGUAUCCCAAAGAGAUCAUAAAAAAAGGGAAAGGACCUACUUGUACAAAAAUAUUUAUAGCUGCUCUUUCUGUGGUGGUAAAGCAUUCCAAACUGGGGGGUAUGCCCUCAGCUAUUGGGGAAUAGCUGAACAAAUUGUGGCAUAUGAUGGUGAUGGAAUACUAUUGUGCUAUAAGAUAUGAUGAUUCCAGAAAGAACUGAAAAGACCUACAUGGACUGAGGCAGAGUGGAAUGAACAGAACCAGGAGAACAUUGUACACAGUAACAGCAACACUGUGGAAUGAUCAACUGUGAAAGGCCUAGCUUCUCUCAGCAAUGCAAUGAUCCAGGACAAUUCUGACAGACUUAUGAUGGGGAAGGCUAUCCACAUCCAGAAAAAGAACUAUGGGAGUCAGAAUAUGGAUCAAAGCGUACCAUUUUUCACUUCUUUAUUUGGGAUUAUGUUUGGGUUUUGGUUUUAUAAGAUUACUCACAAAAAUGAGUCAUAUAAAAAGAUAUUUUACAUAAUAACCCAGAUCAAAUCACCUGACAGCAUUGGGAGGAAGGGAAGGAAAACGUGUGUGGAAAAUAUUACAUGUAAUUGGUAAAAAAUACAUAUAUAUUUUUUAAAACCCUCUAAAUAUUCUUCACCAUACCUAUUCCUACCCCUGCACCUUUGCCCAUUCUCUGUCUUUGCCUAGGGGAAGCCUAUCUUCUUCCUCUCUCCCUUUUUCCAAACCCAUCCUUUGAAGCCCCACUCAUGUCUGUGAAGCCUUCCCAGAGACCAGCAAACAUAGAUCUUUCCCUCCCAUCUAUCCCUAGAGCUCACUGUCUGUUGAUCUCUCACACCCAGCACUCAGCCCACCCCACCAUCCAAUGUCUUUUGUAUAUUCUUCUUUUCUCUGACCCUGCAUGCCUCUCAGCUUUGUUAGUACCGAAAAGAGCUUCCACCAGUCCUUCUUCCUGGUAUCUCAGGGAAGCCUUGAGAACCCAUUCUCCAGAGAGGCUAUGGUGCAGGUGAAGUCAAGGGCCCCGGGGUCAGACUGGGUGAGCUUAGGAUGGGAGGCAUUCCCCCUUUCCGGGCUUCCUUUUCUAUAAAAUGAAGGUGGCGCUUGCCCUAAAGAUUCCCAGUUCUAAGGCAUGGAUUGAGAGAAUGGGUACAAAAACUAAAAGGUUUUUCAUUUUAAAGUGCUCUAGAAGGAGGCAGCUGGGUAGCUCAGUGGAUUGAGAGCCAGGCCUAGAGAUGAGAUUCAAAUCUGAGUUCAAAUCUGGCCUCAGACACUUCCCAGCUGGGUGACCCUGGGCAAGUCACUUGCCCCCCAUUGCCUAGCCCUUACCACUCUGCCUUCGAACCAAUACACAGUAUUGACUCCAAGACGGAAGGUGAGGGUUUUUAAAAAAAUAAAUAAAUAAAGUGCUCUAGAAAGGCAGGCUGCUGACAAACUGAAGAUGAAUUUCCCUGACUUUAUUUAGCCUAUCUAAAAUCCCUGAGGUGCCUCCUCUGCCAGGCUGGGGAGGUGACUGGGCUUCACAGGCGGAGGGCAAAUGCCAAGCACCAUUCAGAACUCCAUUUGCUGUGGACAAAAAUUAAUGGCUGGGACUUUGAAAAUCUCCCUGCCCCCCAGGAAGAGGAGACUUACCCCCAAAAUAUCUUGGGUCCCAGGAGUGAGAACGUCAGAAUAAAACCCGCGAGUUUUAAUCUCUGGAUACAUCUUGGACUUGUCCGCUGGAGAAUUAAUAUCUUCAUCAAGAUCUGCAUAUCUAGAUUUAUGAUACUCUGCUGUGCGAUCCAUUAUUGUGCCUUGUGAGAAAAAAGUACUCUGUAAAACUUAAAGCAUUUCAUCCAGGUAUGCUGCUAUCAUUGUCUUUAUUACUCUUAUCAUUAAGUGAACACGCAUCCUGGCUGCCCUGUGUGGCAGGGCUCUCAUCCCCUUCCUCAGCUCUUAGCAUUGGCUUAUAGGACCCAUUAAAUUGGUGUAAAGGGCUUCACCCCCAUGGCCUAGCCCUUACCACUCUUCUGCCUUGGAACCACACACACAGUAUUGAGUCUAAGACAGAAAGUAAAUUGGCAUAACAAGUACAGAACACAUCUGACCCCUUAUAUUUAGCAGAGUUGACAGAAUGGUCUGCCCCCUAACAAAUUUCAUGUCAUGGCUUUUCCAUUUUGCCCUAUUCAUUUUUUUAAAUGCUUCUUUUCCAUCUUAGAAUCAAUAUUAUGUAUUGGUUCCAAGGCAGAAGAGUGGUAAGGGCUAGACAAUGGGGGUUAAGCGACUUGCCCAGGUUCACACAGCUGGGAAGUGUCUGAGGUCAAAUUUGAACUCAGGACCUUCCAUCUCUGGAUCUGGCUCUCAAUCCAUUGAGCCACCUAGCUGUCCCCAUUGGGUUAUUUUUUUAAACUUUUUUUUUUUACCAAUUACAUGUAAUAGCAAAUUUCCAAAUUGUCUCCUUCUUUCCUGGCCCUCCCCAACUCCCAGAGCUGGCUAGGCUAUUAUUUUUUUUAAAAACAGAAUAAAAAGGAAUGUCUGCCUUCAACUCCACAUCUGAAUCUGCAAGAAGGACAGUUCUACCAUUUGGUUAAUAAGGAACCAUGCAUCUAGCCCAGUCCAUCUGAGAAUCAAUCAACCAGUAUUUAUUAGGCCAUGCACCAUGCUAGAUACUCUCCUCAUUAGGAGCUAACAUUCUAUUGGGGAAGGCGAAGAGAUUUUCUAUAUGUGUAUGUCUAUAAAAUAUAUAUAAAGAAUAAAACAAGUUGUUAAAUACAAGGUAGUUUCAAGAAGUCACCAGAAGUUGAAAGGAAAUGGGGAAUAAUUUUACUUGGAAGGUAGUGCUUGAGUAGCAUAUUGGGGGAGAGAGAGAGAUUCUGAGUCAGAGGUAAGGAGAAAGUGCAUUCCAGGCAUAGAGGCCAGCCUGGACAAAAUCACAAAGAAAUACACAUCACAUCUUUGAAUCAAAGAGACAAACACUGCCCCUCACCAAACAGAUAAAGUUAAGGGAAAAGGACUGAGAAACAGAACAUUUGGUGGUUAACCCUGUGUGCACUCUGGUUCUGAGGAGCAUUUCUAGGUGGCUCCCUGGAUAGAGAGCCAGACCUGGAGACUGGAGGUCCUGGGUUCAAAUAUGACCUCAGAUACUUCCUAGACAUGUGAUCCUAGGCAAGUCACUUAACCCCAACUGCCUGGCCCUUACUGCUCUUCUGCCUUAGAACUCAAUUCUAAAACAGGUUAGGGUUUUUUAAAAACUGUUGAAGAGAAUAUGGGACUACCAGUACUUAACCUCAUAGUGUAUUAGGGUCAGACACUUGGUCUACCACUCCUUGGAGUUAAGUUCUUAUUAAUUACUCUGUAUCAAUUCUAUUUAGUAGGAUGGGCCACUGCAUUGAAAUGAAUUUAGGAAUACUGAUUAGCCAUAUGAGCAAUAACUACAAAAUUAUCCAGAACUCAUCCAAAUGUAGGAUGCACUCUUCCCACAAACCUGGUUUUUGUAAAACUUGAGCAUCCUCUAUAAUUGAUUAUUGUUUUGUCUUGAGAACUAAUUUUAGGCACAUGAACUUUAUCCAGAACAACAUGGUAAUUCUAGUCUUCCAAGGUAGAGGUUUAUCCCUAGUUGUGUCAACAGUCAUUUUUUCCAUGAUUACCAACUCAAACUCUGUAAGACUGCCACCAUAACUCUCUGCUGUAGACUGACUGGGACAUCCCAUCUGAAUGGGCCAGAGUCUAGAGUUAGACCUGAAAUCGAGAGGCCUUGAUCCUGGCUUUAACACUUAAAACUAGUUUCAUGAUGAUAGGCAAAUCACUUUGUCCCACUAAGCCUCAUUUUUUCCCCAUGUGUAAAAUGAAGAUGAUACUUUAGUAUUACCUGGCUUACAUAGAUGUUAUGUUGUGAGGAAUGUUUUGUAAACCUUUAAGUACUAUGUCAGAGUGAAGUAGUUAACAUUUUUCUUUCUUCCCCCAUCAAAUUUUUCUAGUACAAAAUUUGUAUCUCUUCUCUGCAUUCUACCAUAUAUCCUAUUUAUAAAUGUGCAAGCCAUAUCCUUAUCCCAAUACCUCUGAGCUCCCUCAAGACAGGAACUGUUGUUUUUCAGUUUUGUUACCCACCUCCCAGCACAAGGCUCUUUGGAAGGAACCCUGUUCCUCUUAGUUUAGGUUUAUGGUUAAAGUUUGCAUAUAUAUUUAUUGAACUGGACUGAACUGAACCUGUUACUACUCAGAAGAACAUACACAUUUUGGUUCAAUUGAAUGGAGAUGAUAAACACAAUCUGUGGAAAGAGAUUUACAAAUCUUUGAGUAUGAAAAAAGUCAGCUUUGUGUUUUGUUUUAAAGCUUUGUUGUUUUUUGCAUAAUAACAGUUUUUAAUGCUUUAUACCCUACAAAAUGAUUCACAACAAAUCUAUGAGGCAGGAAGGCAGAGACUGUUAUCUGGGGGGUGGGGGGUGGGGG